ensembl:lncRNA
UCCUAACCUCCCUCCUCUCCUUCUGCUACUACUACAGCUGGUGGCUCCUCAUGCGCCGCGGCGUUGCGAAGCCUUCACCGGGCACACCGGCUGCAGUCCGUAGGCAUGUCGGCUGGGGGCUCUGACGGGACGGCGGAGAGGCCAGCAGGUUCAAAAGACCACGACUGAUACAUUCAUGUCCUGCUGCUGGUUGAAAAUACUGAAGUUAACCUUCAGUAUUCAGCUGAGAUAGAAGGUGGUGCUUUUUUCCCCACUUGUCAUCAUUUUCCAUGUUUUUUGUGUCUUUCUGGUCAUUUUAAGUCUCACUGCAUGUAUUUUUGUUGUGUUUUUCUACCUCUUUUUAUUAGUUUUGUGUAUUUUAGUACUCUUUGUAGUUAACGUUUAACUGGAGUUAUUCUGUGUCUUUUGUUUCUUGUCAUAGUGUUGUGUCUCUUAGCAGUCAUUUGGUUACUCUUUAUAGUUAUUUCUGCUUGUUCCUUCUCAUUGUAUAUCUCUUUGUAAUUAACUCUUUGUAAUUAAAUUAAUCAUUUUGAAGUCCUGUGUCAUUGUGUAGUUGUUUAGUGUCUAUCUCUACUUAACUUGUGUUUCUUUCUACUUAUUUUACAUUUCUUUGUAGUUAUUUUGUUUCCCUUUUAGUAGCUGUGUCUUUGUGGUAAUUCUCAUUAAAUUUGUGAAAUGUCAAGUUCAAAUUUGAAUGGAAUCAGUCUAUUGUGAAUGAAAUGUCAUCAACUAUUUACAAGUUCAAAUAGUGUCAAAUAUUUUAAGGUAACCAAAGCAACAACAGUUCCUUUCUUUGUUCUUAAUAACAGGCAGUCAUUCAGUCACUUGGUAUGAAACUAAAUUGAUCAAGAUAUGCGAGAAGUGAUAUUUUUAAGUAAAUUUUGUUUUCCUUUGGCUGUCCUGUUAGGAUUGCCUCCCUUCUGUGUGGAUCUCUGUUCAUUUUCUGUGUGUACCUUUUUGUCCUGCCUCUCCCAUUCAUAUUUUCUACACUCUAAAAAGAUUAAAGUUCCAAACUCGUCACGCUUAGAUCCUUAUUCUAAUGACAUAACAUUAGUAAUUUACCCCCCCCCCCCCCCCCCCCACACACACACACACACACACACACACA